AUUGAACGCUGGCGGCAGGCCUAACACAUGCAAGUCGGACGGUAGCACAGAGGAGCUUGCUCCUUGGGUGACGAGUGGCGGACGGGUGAGUAAUGUCUGGGGAUCUGCCCGAUAGAGGGGGAUAACCACUGGAAACGGUGGCUAAUACCGCAUAACGUCGCAAGACCAAAGAGGGGGACCUUCGGGCCUCUCACUAUCGGAUGAACCCAGAUGGGAUUAGCUAGUAGGCGGGGUAAUGGCCCACCUAGGCGAGGAUCCCUAGCUGGUCUGAGAGGAUGACCAGCCACACUGGAACUGAGACACGGUCCAGACUCCUACGGGAGGCAGCAGGGGGGAAUAUUGCACAAUGGGCGCAAGCCUGAUGCAGCCAUGCCGCGUGUAUGAAGAAGGCCUUCGGGUUGUAAAGUACUUUCAGCGGGGAGGAAGGCGGUGAGGUUAAUAACCUUGCCGAUUGACGUUACCCGCAGAAGAAGCACCGGCUAACUCCGUGCCAGCAGCCGCCGUAA
rnacentral:rRNA from 1 species